CGUUUCGAUUUCAUGUAGGGUGAUGCCGCAUACCUUCAGCUGCUCUCAAGUUCCCAAAUGUAAGUUCUCCUGUGAGGUGAACUUGAGGGCUGGAAUGGGGAGAAGCGGGAGGAGGUCUGGCAUGACAGCAUGUAGAUGGGUGACACAUUUUGUGCAAAUCGGACUUAUGGACAAAUUUAACUGCAGCAACCGGCAAAUGAUGCAGCAUGAGGGUGAUUGUCUUUUUAGCAUCUGAGGAAGAGAAGGAAGGCCCCAAGAGGAAUCAAAAAGGAAGAAGGCAGAGGAAUAAGAGAACAAGGCGACUCUGGGUCGGCUCUCGUGGUGGCACUGGAUGAAGGAGAUAAUGGGGCCGUUGUUGGGUGGAGGAGGGGGGCUUGGUGUGUUGCCUAGAGCGCAGAUGAUGGGGUUAUAGGUUGAGGCCACGGAAAGCAAGCACACCAGAAAACGUCCCAAGCAAUUCGGUUAAAUGUGAAGGAUACAGGAUCAGGUUAUGAUGUAUUCUGCAACUUAUGUUUCUGUUAGCAAAAUGGGCAACAUCCAGCGCUUCUUGGUAAGAUAACAUCUCGCCGUAAAAAAAGUGUCAUGUGUGUCCCUGUUUUGUCUGAAAUUUGGUGGCAGCGGUUCUAGCAGUUAGGAUAUUGUUAGGGAUUUGUUGCAACUUACAUCUUUGCUUUCUAUCUCAUAUUUUUAGCUAGCCGGUGAUUAUCUCAAACUUACAUGAUAAUAUGUUGAGGUUCAGGAAUCAAUACAUGGGCAAGAAAAAUUCUGAAGGUGAUGCUGAUUAUUUUAUUCCAGUACGUGAAAGAGUAGUAAUUCCUGCAAAUCUGUAGCAUGCAUCAGAUAGCUUUGUAAAUUCCCUAGAUUGAAGUAAGGUUAGUGCAUAGUUCUGAAAUUUCUGGUCCUCAUCUACCAUCCAUUUUUGUGUGCUUGGGGCGUCGCUGGGUGGAGGCUUGUGCAAUUUAUAUUUUAUGUUACUACUUUUAGGAUUUGCAGGCUGGCUGUUGGGUGGACCGGAGUAGAAUCCUUUUAGAUAGCGUGGAGGGUCCUUUUUCUAUUUCAGAGAGAGUGCACGUUUUUUGGUCUUUUCAUAUUAUUUGUUGUGGUUAUUAGAGGGAGGUUUUGUUAAAUUACAUCGAUGCUAAACCAGUGGCUUGUCUGUGUAUUAAUUCAUGUUAUUUAGGCUGAAAAAGUUUGCCUAGAUACGACAAAGAUGUUUUACUUAGCCUUUUGAAAUAUUUAAUGCAGGGUAAUUAUUCUGAUUGAAAUAGAUUUCUGUGCAAAUAGCGAAUGCGCAAUUGAUAUUAUGUGUACUUGAAAGUCAUAAGGAUUACAGUGGUGAAGGAGUUGACACCAUCGAAUGCGUCUGUUACUAUCCAAGCCAUGCAUAUGGAAAGCCCGCUUUGACAUGGAUUUGAGCAAAGAGAUGUGUCACAUGAAGGUGAUUCGGAGGAGGUACACUAGCAGCUACAGCUGGUUCCAAUCCCUCCCCUGAUGUGGUGCUAUGGGAGCAAGAAAAAGAGGAGACUCAAGAGUUACCUAUAGUUGCUAAUUUCUAAAAUAAUCAGGCACAAUUGAGCAACCUAUGAACCGUCUUCAGUGUUAGAUAAGUCACUUGAUCUUCAAAAUUGGUGGCUUGAUGUAGGUUCCGUUUCCCAAUUUGAAUAAAUAACCAUGGUGGUUCAAUGAUCUCAGAAAGCCACUAUAUAUAAUGUACUUAUCAGUUGCCCACCUUGAUUCUCUCUCUUUGUUGUGUAUGUACAUUUGUUUAUCAAUUGCCUGUUGUUUUGUUGAUUGCUUUGCAGCCUUGAUUUUGUUGGUUCAGAUAGAAAAGUAUGAGUAGGUGAACAUGGAGGUAUACGAUCGGUUUCUCCACUACUAUUUGUAUUUUGGUUCUUCCUAAAAAUAAUCCCUUCCCGGCUAAUUUAUACACAUGUGUUCUUGUUUUUAAAAGGUAAGUUAAUAAAUCAUUGGGAGUUAUUUGUUGAUGUCUAUUUACAGUACUAAGUUUUAGUUAACAAAUACAUUGUAUUUGAUGAGGAAAACAUGCUUUCUUUUUCCCUGUACUUCUUUUAUUUCGAUGAAAACACUCCUUUUUAUUCCCCCGCCCCUGUUUAUAUACUUUUGCUUGUUGCUUUUUUCUGUACUUAUUUUAUUUAUACUGACUUAAAGUGUAUCCUUGCCUUAUUUUUCUUCAGGAAAAGGACAUAGAUGCUCUAUCUUCAGGAAAAGGACAUGGAUGAUCUAGAAGAUAUGCACCCUCAAGGAGAAUAGGUUCGGUGUGCCUUGGGUUGAAUCUCGGUUGAUUUUUAUGCAGAAGAUUGUGGUGAGAUUGAGAUUGGUAUCCCCUUUUGUCCAUGAUGGUGCUUUUGCUGAAUGUGCUUCCAACCUGUGUGCAGGUCAAGCUGGUACCUCUCCCUCCCCAUGUAGAAGCAGCCUGUGAGCUCCAAUGUCACAACUUGAAAGACAGGAAUAAUAGUUCAGAACUUCAGAUAAAAGAUGGGCACAAUAAUUAUAUGUAUAAAACAUGGCAACCAUAAUUCUAUGGAGGAAAGUUGGCAAUAAGGAUGUGUUGACUUCAGGAGUUUAAGAUGAUAUCUACGGCCAAAAUUACAUGAAUUAUGAAUCAGUGUAAUUAGAUAGAACAAAAAUUAUACCCCUCUUGUUUAAAAUGUGUCAAAACAUGAUGUUUCUCCUCUUGUUUCUUUUUGAUGCAAUCCAAAUGCCUUAGGUGAAGUACCAGUUAUGCAGCAACCCUAACAAGUGAGAAUCUCUAUGCCAUUUCAUUUGUUCCCUUUUUACUGAUAUGCUUCUUAAUCUUUUUGAUGCAGUUAAUUCCAUGUGGAAGGCAUUGUACUCAUCAUUAGCUCCCAUGCGUUCCACUGCAGACAUUAUUUCUUCAGUCCUAGAGUGCAUCAGACCAGAUGGACUUCGUUCCAGUGCACAGUUUUGAGCUUGACAACAUUUAGGCAUUGAUUUCGUUUGGAACAGUAUGGUGUGCAGAAUGGCGGGAGGAAAGGUUGGCCCAGCGGGAGCAGGUUGCAGUUGUGGCCGCCUGGGCGGGAGGAGAAGCUGGCCCAGCAGCGAUCGACUCCUUCAGGUGGACACAUGGGCGCAGUUGCGGCAGCCCGAGAUGGAGAAGAAGAUGCACCAGCCUCCUUGAGGCGGAUGCAAGCUUGGGCAGCAGGAGGCCGCUGGCGCGAGGUGCGGGGGACGAGCUCGAGCGGGAGGGCAGCGGGAAGGCCGGUGGCGCUAGGGCAGCAGGAGUAGUAAUAAAAUAAUAAAGGCGACCGAACUAAGAUUUGUUACAUCGAUCAGCAUGUAUUUCUUGUUUUGGUCUCUGGGAUUUUCGGUGAUAUGUAUGCUGCUCAGUUGUACCCCUUCUUCUUUGAAUUCAGCUUUGUUGAUUAUUAUUGCUUUUCUUUUUUCAGAAUAUUGAUAUAGUGAUAUUAUUUUCAUACCAAGCACAAAGAUGCUGGUACAACGACUGAUAUUUGAUUUCUGAUCAUUUCAUGAA